UACGUAGGGCGCAAGCGUUGUCCGGAAUUAUUGGGGCGUAAAGGGCUCGUAGGCGGUUUGUCACGUCGGGAGUGAAAACUCAGGGCUUAACCCUGAGCCUGCUUCCGAUACGGGCGACUAGAGGUAUGCAGGGGAGAAUGGAAUUCCUGGUGUAGCGGUGAAAUGCGCAGAUAUCAGGAGGAACACCGGUGGCGAAGGCGGUUCUCUGGGCAUUACCUGACGCUGAGGAGCGAAAGUGUGGGGAGCGAACAGG
rnacentral:rRNA from 1 species